rnacentral:lncRNA from 1 species
GUUAUGUAACGAGCAGCAAGUUGAUUGCAACUGCUCUGGAUACCUGGCAGAAGAACUUAAGGACACACAAAAAGGAGGUCGCUUGGCUCUUCACCAACUUUACAGCAAAUGGUAGAGAACUUCAUCAGACUAUUUUUAGGAUCAAUGUCUAAGAGCUGUUCAGAAAAACUGCUUCUAUGGAAGUGAAGCACAGCCACAGCCUGAUAAUACCCCUUAAUUCAAACAAUAUUCUGAAAAACCUAGAAAUCCUGAAGCAGAGGUGGGUCAGUUGUGUACACUUCAGUUGCACUUUACAAAAAGAGCAUGUUACCAUCUUGUCUCAUUUUUAUAGCAUUCAUAUCCCCAGCCACAACCAUUAAUCAGGUUUUUUUUCCUCUUUUGGGAAUGGUGGAGAUUAUACUAAAAAUCCUUGGAAUGUCUACUACAGGAUGUAAAAUUCUACAUGAUUAGCCUUUUGUAAAUAUUAAGCAAAACCAGUAAAUCAAAUGAUCAGAUUAACAUAUUUUAGCAGAAGUAUCCAUAUGAAAGGAAAUGUUGACAUUCUUUAUGAAAGCUACUUUUUCCCUUUACUGCUGCCAUUUUUAUUGUGGAUUUCCCUGUUCAGCACUUAGUUCCAAUGUUUUAAAUGAUCCAUUUCAACACUAGACAGCAAUAUUCUUCCAGUCAUAUGAGUUUUUGGUUGCAUUUUAUUACGUUAAAAAUUUCAGAGCUCUACUGUGAAUUACACUAUUAACAUUCCCUAUAUUUUAGAGGACUGUGUUCACAAGAAUUAGUAUGAUUGGAUUGGGUCCACGAAUUCUUUGUUUGGGUCUUUGAUGAGAAAAGUCCAAUGCAAUUUAGUCUUUGGUAGUAACUAGGCUAUGAAUUUAUUGCACAAUUAUAAAAAAUUUAAAAGUGUAAAAACAAUGGAUAAUUCAUUCAAGAAACCCAAAGAAAUGUUUGAUUUAAAGGAGGCACCCAGUUGAAGAUGGUAAAGUAUUCAAGUAAUAACCAACCCACCUAAAUAUAGUUUCUCAGGACUUUGUUUAUAACUUUGUUUAGCUCAAAAUGCAGUUUUCUUAGAAACAAUGCUAUAAAUUCAGGUCCAUCCUGAAUGGAUGUUUCAGUGCCAACACUAUAUCUACCCUUAAGAACUUGCUUGCUGGUGGUGUGGAAAAAAAGGCAAGGACACAAAUAACUCAGCAAACCUCUUUUCAACACAUUGUCAAGUGCCUUAUAAAGCAAGCUCAAACAUGGCAGAAAGCCACCACUGAAUUUCAGAGUUGAAGAAUGCAUAAAUUGUUACAAACUUUUUCUAUAGAUCAACUACCCACAAUUUGGGAGGUUUGUUAUUCUCAACCCCUUGUUAUAUCUUCUUCCAGCAUAAGUACCUCACUACCCGCUUGCUCCCCAAAAUGUAGGGGGCAGGUAUAAACCUGUAACACCUAAUGUUCCCACUGAUAUGGUAAUUGGAACUUGACAGGAUUUCAGAACUUUACCCUUUUUAUUAACCUUAGAAUCUCUACCAAGGACUCCCCUGUCACUUUAGUAAAUGAUUAAUAUUGAUCCAAAAAAUGACAAAUUGACACACUUAGAGAUUUCUUUCUAUUCACUACAAGUGGUAGAGUUUCUGAACCAUAAUCUAUUAUCACUUGUAGUAAUUCCAUUUUAUGAUCUAUUUAGCAUAGUGCAUAUUCUUGUUAAUAUUUUGAGCAUCGUAUAUACUGUUUUACCUUAAAUUUCUUUCCCUUCUUGUUCCUCCUCCUCUUCUUCUUCCUCUUCUUUUUCUCUUUUUAGGGCUGUACCCACAACAUAUGGAAGUUCCAGGCCAGGGGUUGAAUCACAGCUGCAGCUGCCAGCCUAUGCCACAGCCACAGUAAAGCCAGAUCUGAGCUAUACCUGCCACCUACAUCACAGCUCAUGGCAACACUGGAUCCUUUAACCAACUGAGCAAGGCCAGGGAUCAAACCCACAUCCUCAUAGAUACUAGUCAGAUUCUAAGCCCACUGAACAGCAACCGGAACUCCAAAUUUUUUUUUUAAUUGAAAUAUUGUUGAUGUAUAAUAUUAUAUGUUAACAGGUGUACCAUAUAAUGAUUCACAAUUUUUAAAGGUUAUACUCCAUUAUAGUUAUUAAAAAAUAUUGGCUGUAUUCACCAUGUUGUACAAUAUAUUCCUUUUUUUUCUUUUUUGGCCACACCUAUGGCAUAUGGAAGUUCCUGGUCCAGAGAUCAAACCUGUCACAGCAGCAACCCAAGCUGCUGCAGUGACAAUGCUGGAUCUUUAACACACUGCACCACAAGAGAGUUCCUCUUGUAGCUUAUUUUAUGCCUAAUAGUUUGAACAUCCUAAUCCCCAACCUUUGUCUUACCCCUCAACCCUUUCCUCUCCCCUCUGGUAACCACUAGUUUGUUCUCUAUAUCUGUGAGUCUUUACUAUAUCUUUUCUGUUUUAUUCAUUAGUUGGGUCUUUUAAAUUCCGCAUAUAAGUGAUAUUGUACAAUAUUUGCUUUCUCUGCCUGACUUAUUUCACUUAGCAUAAUGCUCUUCAAGUCCGUCCAUGUUGUUGCAGAUGGCAAAAUGCCAUUCUUUUUUAUGGUUGAAUAGAAUUUCAUAGUACAUACAUCUACUUUAUCCAUUUAUCCAUUGAUUAAUACUUAGGUUGUUUCCAUAUCUUGGCCAUUAUAACUAAUGCUGCUAUGAACAUUAGGACUCCCGUGUCUUUUCAAAUUAGUGUUUUUUGUUUUUUUGGAUAUAUACCAAGAAUAGUACCAUAAAUUUCAUGUUUGCAUUUUGAGAAUAGUUUUUCUUUUUCCUGAAGAUCCAAUUUAAGUGUGAUUGUGAGCCCUAUCCUGUUAAAGGAUGAAUACCUCAUUUUAUCAAUACUUACAUUUUUCUCCUGGUCUCCCAAUCAGAGGUGCUAUUUAACAUCUAUAAUAGCACCCACCCCAACCUACCAGCCAGCCCAAACCUCCAGUUCUUCUGUCUCUCCUUGGCUCCCUCAAAGUCAAAUUCCUAAGACUGAAGUUCCCGCAUUGAUAGGGACAAGGAAAAGUGCCAGCUGGCCUGUGAGGAUCCCUGUGGGAGUCACCAGCAGUGACCAGGAGACAGACUUUGAGACACUGGCUCAGGCAUAAUCAGACCAGGUUUCUGGAACCUGGUUAACUGGGCCUAACUCAUUAGCUGUUAUAUGAAGGAGAUCCCCAGGUGAGAAGUCAGUGUAGCCAGGGCACUUUUGCCAACCCAGAGAGACCUUUAAAAAUAUUUUAAUAAUCUGGAAAAUCUGUAGAACCUUACCUAUAAAUAUCAUCUGAGAUUCAGACCUGCUCACAACCUAUCAUAAGAAACUGAAUCUACAGACUUAAAGCAGUAAGGAUAAACAAUCACUUCAGUCUGCUAUCUAAAUGUUUCCUUGUCUUCCAUACUUGAAUUAGACCUUCUGCUUUGAAUGUGGGUUCAAUGCCUAUAAGACUUUUUUUUUUUUUGUCUUUUUUAGGGUCACACCCGCAGUUUCCAGGCUUGGGGUCUAACCAGAAACGUAGCCACUGGCCACAGCCACAGCCACAGCAAUGCCAGAUCUGAUCCAUGUCUGCAACCUACACCACAGCUCACAGCAGCACUGCAUCCUUAACACACUGAGCGAGGCCAGGGAUCGAAUCCGCAACCUCAAGGUUACUCUUCGGGUUCGUUAACCACUGAGCCAUGACGGGAACUCUCCAAUGCCUAUGAGACUUUCAAUAUCUGUUUACCCAAACUUUUUUUUUUAACAUUUCACUCAAAACUUAAAAAGAUGAUAAUGUCAACAUAUUACAAGAGAAAAGUUACAGACUUUCUUUUAAUAGUUGACUUAACAAUGUUGCAUUAGUUUCAGGUGUACAGCAAAGUGAAUCAUUCACACAUAUAAAUAUAUCCAUUCUUUUUUCCCAUAUAGGUUUUCACAAACUAUUGAGUAGACUUUCCUGUGAUAUAUAGUAGGUUCUUGUUAAUCAUCUAUUGUAUACAGUAGUGUAUGUAUGUUAUUCCAUCCUCCUAAUUCUUCCUUCCCCCCAACAGUUUCACCUAUUGUUUACCCAAACUUUUGACUUUUUCCUUUUAAGCCUCAGUUUCCUUUUCUGUAAAAUAGUUAUAUUAAUAGCUUUUCAAUAUACUGUUACCUGAGGUUUAAAUGAAACAAUGCAAGGCAAAUUCCUAGCACAAUACUUGGAAUAUUUUAAUGCCAGCUAUUAUUCACUUUUCACAGGAUCUUCAAUUAAUGAAUGUUAUAAUCCUAUAUGCAGGUACAUAGCUAAUUAAUAUGUUUGGGUACAUGAACACAUGCUGUGCACUGUGUUAAAAUAAAAAGAUGACUAGAAAAAUAGUUUAUUAUUGGGUAUGAGGCGUUUUCAUGCUUUCAGACACUAUCGGGCUAUUGUGUACUCUGACGGCUUGAAGAAGCCUAGGGUUGCAGAGACUCGUGUCAGCUUGUGGCUUCUGGGCUUUUAUCCCUAAUGAGGAAGAGGUAUUCUCUCUCUCUAGAAAGAAGGAGAUCCUUUGUCAAGCUUCAGGUCUCCCUGUACUCAUAUAUUAUCUUUUCCUUUGACUUUUGCUCAAAACUGGGGAAUAGAGCAUAUCUUAAAAGCACCAAUGUCAGGAAACCCCGGGCCUUUUUGUUUCUGGGCAACAUGAAUGAGAAGACUGUCAUAAAAGAUGUGGAACCUUAGGAGGCAAUAAAUAAAAAUGAAUCCUAGAGGGCAGCAUGAAAAACUGCAGAGAAAAACUCUGUUAACAAGUAAAUGAGUAUUUUUAACGAGGUUUUCUUGUCAUCCUCUUAGUCUGGCAUCGAGUCUUCAUUUGAACCCUGUCAUAUUAGGUGCUCUGAGCAAACGUCAAUUAUAUUCUAGAGACCCGAUGAAACCUAAACAUCAAAAUAAAAGUUUGAAGGAAGCACUGUGGCACACCAUUUGCUGGGAGCUUCUUUGAACCAUGUCUAUUUGCUUCCUUUUGCCCCUUGGUGUUUUAUCAUAUUCACGAUAUGCAUUUUUUGUUUUCUGAUUGUGCUUCUCGAAAGUCUCAUUCACAAGUGGGUGUCAUUGUCCCAGUCACUUACUGGUAUGGCAUGGACUAAUUACUGAACUUUCCUGAUGUUUUCUUCAUCAUCCCCGAGGUGGGAAAAAGUCCUCAGAUGAUAUCAAAAUCUCUCACCUAAUUCUCUAGUGAUUUUUAAACCAAAAUUCUUUGCAUUAUUUUAACUAUAAAAUUUUCUAGCCUGGAAAACACAUAUAUGCUGAUGGCCCAUCUUUGAAACAGUCUUUUUAAACCACUUUCCUCCUGUUCUUUCCAUGCAACUAUCUUCAUUACUGCCAGUGAACAGCCUCCAUGACAAUCUAGAUUAAUCAGUG